CCCAGCAUUGCACAGUGGUUUGUGCAUUGGACUAUGACUCUGGAGAUCAGGGUUCAAUUCCUUGCUCAAC